UACGUAGGUGGCAAGCGUUAUCCGGAAUUAUUGGGCGUAAAGCGCGCGUAGGCGGUUUCUUAAGUCUGAUGUGAAAGCCCACGGCCCAACCGUGGAGGGUCAUAGGAAACUGGGAGACUUGAGUGCAGAAGAGGAAAGUGGAAUUCCAUGUGUAGCGGUGAAAUGCGCAGAGAUAUGGAGGAACACCAGUGGCGAAGGCGACUUUCUGGUCUGUAACUGACGCUGGGGUGCGAAAGCAUGGGGAGCGAAC
rnacentral:rRNA from 1 species